GACGAACGCUGGCGGCGUGCUUAACACAUGCAAGUCGAACGGAAAGGCCCUGCUUUUGUGGGGUGCUCGAGUGGCGAACGGGUGAGUAACACGUGAGUAACCUGCCCUUGACUUUGGGAUAACUUCAGGAAACUGGGGCUAAUACCGGAUAGGAGCUCCUGCUGCAUGGUGGGGGUUGGAAAGUUUCGGCGGUUGGGGAUGGACUCGCGGCUUAUCAGCUUGUUGGUGGGGUAGUGGCGUACCAAGGCUUUGGCGGGUAGCCGGCCUGGGAGGGUGACCGGCCACCUUGGGACUGAGAUACGGCCCAGACGCCUACGGGAGGCAGCAGUGGGGAAUCUUGCACAAUGGGCGGAAGCCUGAUGCAGCAACGCCGCGUGCGGGAUGACGGCCUUCGGGUUGUAAACCGCUUUCGCCUGUGACGAAGCGUGAGUGACGGUAAUGGGUAAAGAAGCACCGGCUAACUACGUG
rnacentral:rRNA from 1 species